AGAGUUUGAUCCUGGCUCAGAAUGAACGCUGGCGGCGUGCAUAACACAUGCAAGUCGAACGAGAAAUCCCGCCUUCGGGUGGGAGAGUAAAGUGGCGCACGGGUGAGUAACGCGUGGGUAACCUGCCCCUGAAUCCGGGAUAACUCCGCGAAAGCGGUGCUAAUACCGGAUGCUGUCACAAAGACUGUGGUUUUUGGGAUUAAAGGUGACCUAUCCAUGGAAGUUGCCGUUCAGGGAGGGGCUCGCGUACCAUUAGCUUGUUGGUGGGGUAAUGGCCUACCAAGGCUUCGAUGGUUAGCUGGUCUGAGAGGAUGAUCAGCCACACUGGCACUGAAACACGGGCCAGACUCCUACGGGAGGCAGCAGUGAGGAAUUUUGCGCAAUGGGGGAAACCCUGACGCAGCAACGCCGCGUGAGUGAAGAAGGCCCUUGGGUCGUAAAGCUCUGUCAAGUGGGAAAAAAGUCUUGCCGUUAAUAGCGGGAGGGCCUGAUGGUACCACUAAAGGAAGCACCGGCUAACUCCGUGCCAGCAGCCGCGGUAAUACGGAGGGUGCAAGCGUUGUUCGGAAUUACUGGGCGUAAAGAGCGUGUAGGCGGCAUGGUAAGUCA
rnacentral:rRNA from 1 species